GAUGAACGCUGGCGGCGUGCCUAAUACAUGCAAGUCGAGCGAACGGACGAGAAGCUUGCUUUUCUGAUGUUAGCGGCGGACGGGUGAGUAACACGUGGAUAACCUACCUAUAAGACUGGGAUAACUUCGGGAAACCGGAGCUAAUACCGGAUAAUAUUUUGAACCGCAUGGUUCAAAAGUGAAAGACGGUCUUGCUGUCACUUAUAGAUGGAUCCGCGCUGCAUUAGCUAGUUGGUAAGGUAACGGCUUACCAAGGCAACGAUGCAUAGCCGACCUGAGAGCGUGGGCGGCCACACUGGAACUGAGACACGGACCAGACUCCUACGGGAGGCAGCAGUAGGGAAUCUUCCGCAAUGGGCGAAAGCCUGACGGAGCAACGCCGCGUGAGUGAUGAAGGUCUUCGGAUCGUAAAACUCUGUUAUUAGGGAAGAACAUAUGUGUAAGUAACUGUGCACAUCUUGACGGUACCUAAUCAGAAAGCCACGGCUAACUACGUG
rnacentral:rRNA from 1 species